GGGCUUGUUAGUCAGAGCCACACAGGAAGGUCCCCUCUGACCCUGGCAGGCCGGCAGGCCAAAUCUGGACACUCCUGGGAAUGGCCCAGUGACAGACCAUUGUUGGGCCUUGUUACCAGACCAGGAGAAGAGCAGCUGGCCAAAGGAGAGAGAGAUGAGGAAACUGAGGCUCAGAAAGGUUGAAUAACUUGCCCUGGAGAGUCCGCCACCCUAGGACUCGAAGCACGCAGACACAGAAGUCCCUGUGCUUUUCUACACCCCCCCCCACCCCGCCCCCUGCGCAUUCCCAUUUCUGGGCUCUCCUGGUCUUAACCAGACAAUUGAAGAUAAUGCCCGAAGGAAAUCGGUGUUGUAAAAGAUUAAAACUUAAUCCAAAUGACUCUCCAACUAA